rnacentral:piRNA from 1 species
UCAGCUCCUCAGAAUCUCUUCAG